rnacentral:rRNA from 1 species
GGCAUUCCCCCCGGAGGUCAUCAAAACACUGCAUUCUUACGUCGGAGUAUAAAGUUAAUUUAAUAAAACUUUCAACAACGGAUCUCUUGGUUCUGGCAUCGAUGAAGAACGCAGCGAAAUGCGAUAAGUAAUGUGAAUUGCAGAAUUCAGUGAAUCAUCGAAUCUUUGAACGCACAUUGCGCCCCCUGGUAUUCCGGGGGGCAUGCCUGUUCGAGCGUCAUUUCACCACUCAAGCCUCGCUUGGUAUUGGGCGUCGCGAGUCUCUCGCGCGCCUCAAAGUCUCCGGCUAGGCGGUUCGUCUCCCAGCGUUGUUUUUUUCUAUUCGCAGAGGAGUUCGAGUCGUCGCGGCCGUUAAAUCUUUCAAAGGUUGACCUCGGAUCAGGUAGGGAUACCCGCUGAACUUAAGCAUAUCAAUAG